AUAGAAUGUGACGGCAGAUAAGAACUGUUUGGUCCAUCUAGUCUGUUCAAGUUUCUAAAUACUUUCAUUAGUUCCUGGCCUUAUCUUAUAUCUAGGAUAGCCUUAUGCCUAUCCCAUGCAUGCUUAAACUCCUUCACUGUGUUAACCUCUAACAUUUUAGCUGAAAGGCUAUUCCAUGCAUCCACUACCCUCUCAGUAAAGUGAUACUUCCUGAUAUUAUUUUUAAACCUCUGCCCCUCUAAUUGAAGCCUCUUGUUGUAGUAGUUUUUCUUCUUUUUAAU